rnacentral:rRNA from 1 species
AGAUUGAACGCUGGCGGCAUGCCUUACACAUGCAAGUCGAACGGCAGCGCGGGAGCAAUCCUGGCGGCGAGUGGCGAACGGGUGAGUAAUACAUCGGAACGUGCCCAAUCGUGGGGGAUAACGCAGCGAAAGCUGUGCUAAUACCGCAUACGAUCUACGGAUGAAAGCAGGGGAUCGCAAGACCUUGCGCGAAUGGAGCGGCCGAUGGCAGAUUAGGUAGUUGGUGAGGUAAAGGCUCACCAAGCCUUCGAUCUGUAGCUGGUCUGAGAGGACGACCAGCCACACUGGGACUGAGACACGGCCCAGACUCCUACGGGAGGCAGCAGUGGGGAAUUUUGGACAAUGGGCGAAAGCCUGAUCCAGCCAUGCCGCGUGCAGGAUGAAGGCCUUCGGGUUGUAAACUGCUUUUGUACGGAACGAAACGGCCUUUUCUAAUAAAGAGGGCUAAUGACGGUACCGUAAGAAUAAGCACCGGCUAACUACGUGCCAGCAGCCGCGGUAAUACGUAGGGUGCAAGCGUUAAUCGGAAUUACUGGGCGUAAAGCGUGCGCAGGCGGUUUGUUAAGACAGAUGUGAAAUCCCCGGGCUUAACCUGGGAACUGCAUUGGUGACUGGCAGGCUUGAGUGUGGCAGAGGGAGGUAGAAUUCCA